UGGGGAAUAUUGGACAAUGGGCGCAAGCCUGAUCCAGCCAUGCCGCGUGAGUGAAGAAGGCCUUAGGGUUGUAAAGCUCUUUCACCGAUGAAGAUAAUGACUGUAGUCGGAGAAGAAGCCCCGGCUAACUUCGUGCCAGCAGCCGCGGUAAUACGAAGGGGGCUAGCGUUGUUCGGAAUUACUGGGCGUAAAGCGCACGCAGGCGGAUUGAUAAGUCAGGGGUGAAAUCCCGGGGCUCAACCUCGGAAUUGCCUUUGAUACUGCCAGUCUUGAGUCCGGGAGAGGUGAGUGGAAUUCCUAGUGUAGAGGUGAAAUUCGUAGAUAUUAGGAAGAACACCAGUGGCGAAGGCGGCUCACUGGCCCGGUACUGACGCUCAGGUGCGAAAGCGUGGGGAGCAAACAGGAUUAGAUACCCUGGUAGUCCACGCCGUAAACGAUGGAUGCUAGCCGUUGGGGAGCUUGCUCUUCAGUGGCGCAGCUAACGUCUUAAGCAUCCCGCCUGGGGAGUACGGUCGCAAGAUUA
rnacentral:rRNA from 1 species